rnacentral:misc_RNA from 1 species
GCAAACUUGGUCAUUUAGAGGAAGUAAAAGUCGUAACAAGGUUUCCGUAGGUGAACCUGCGGAUGGAUCAUCAACAAAAGGGAAAAGCGCGAAAGCGUUUUCCCGAAAAAUCCUGUAUUCACCCCAAGUUCCUUUAAAACUUUAAAUAAAAAAAUUUGCAAAAAGUCCACCCUUUUGUCUGGUGGCGCUUUAAUGCAUACGUGAAAACUUUCAACAACGGAUCUCUUGGCUCUCGCAUCGAUGAAGAACGCAGC